rnacentral:rRNA from 1 species
UAGGGAAUCUUCCACAAUGGACGCAAGUCUGAUGGAGCAACGCCGCGUGAGUGAAGAAGGUUUUCGGACCGUAAAGCUCUGUUGUUGGUGAAGAAGGAUAGAGGUAGUAACUGGCCUUUAUUUGACGGUAAUCAACCAGAAAGUCACGGCUAACUACGUGCCAGCAGCCGCGGUAAUCGUAGGUGGCAAGCGUUGUCCGGAUUUAUUGGGCGUAAAGCGAGCGCAGGCGGAAGAAUAAGUCUGAUGUGAAAGCCCUCGGCUUAACCGAGGAAUUGCAUCGGAAACUGUUUUCUUGAGUGCAGAAGAGGAGAGUAGAACUCCAUGUGUAGCGGUGGAAUGCGUAGAUAUAUGGAAGAAUACCAGUGGCGAAGGCGGCUCUCUGGUCUGCAACUGACGCUGAGGCUCGAAAGCAUGGGUAGCGAACAGGAUUAGAUACCCUGGUAGUCCAUGCCGUAAACGAUGAGUGCUAAGUGUU